rnacentral:SRP_RNA from 1 species
GCAGGAUGUGGUGGCGCACACCUGUAGUCCCAGCUACUCGGGAGGCUGAGAGGGAAGGAUCGCUUGAGCCCAGGAGUUCUGGGCUGUAGUGCGCUAUGCCAAUCUGGAUGUCCACACUAAGUUCGGCAUCAACAUGGUGACCACCUGGGAGCGGGGAACCACCGGGUUGCCUAAGGAGGGGUGAACUGGCCCAGGUCAGAAACAGAGCAGGUCAAAACUCCAGUGCUGAUCAGUAGUGGGAUUGCACCUGUGAAUAGCCACUAUACUCCAGCCUGGGCAGCAUAGCGAGACCCUGUCUCU